rnacentral:rRNA from 1 species
AGCAGUCGCCGCGGGAAUACGAAGGGUGCAAGCGUUAAUCGGAAUUACUGGGCGUAAAGCGUGCGUAGGCGGUGGGUUAAGUCUGCUGUGAAAUCCCCGGGCUCAACCUGGGAAUGGCAGUGGAUACUGGCUCGCUAGAGUGUGUCAGAGGAUGGUGGAAUUCCCGGUGUAGCGGUGAAAUGCGUAGAGAUCGGGAGGAACACCGAUGGCGAAGGCAGCCCCCUGGGCCAAUACUGACGCUCAUGCACGAAAGCGUGGGGAGCAAACAGGAUUAGAUACCCCCGUAGUCCCUGUCUCUUAUAC